AGAGUUUGAUCAUGGCUCAGGAUGAACGCUGGCGGCGUGCUUAACACAUGCAAGUCGAACGCUGAAGCUCCUAGCUUGCUGGGGGUGGAUGAGUGGCGAACGGGUGAGUAUCACGUGAGUAACCUGCCCUUGACUCUGGGAUAAGCCUGGGAAACUGGGUCUAAUACCGGAUGAUCACUUCUCUCCGCAUGGGGGGUGGUGUAAAGAUUGUAUCGGUCUUGGAUGGACUCGCGGCCUAUCAGUUUGUUGGUGGGGUAAUGGCCUACCAAGGCGAUGACGGGUAGCCGGCUUGAGAGGGUGACCGGCCACACUGGGACUGAGACACGGCCCAGACUCCUACGGGAGGCAGCAGUGGGGAAUAUUGCACAAUGGGCGCAAGCCUGAUGCAGCGACGCCGCGUGCGGGAUGACGGCCUUCGGGUUGUAAACCGCUUUCAGCAGGGAAGAAGCCUUGAGUUUUCUUGGGGUGACGGUACCUGCAGAAGAAGCGCCGGCUAACUACGUGCCAGCAGCCGCGGUAAUACGUAGGGCGCGAGCGUUAUCCGGAAUUAUUGGGCGUAAAGAGCUCGUAGGCGGUUUGCCGCGUCUGCUGUGAAAGCCCGGGGCUCAACUCCGGGUGUGCAGUGGGUACGGGUAGACUGGAGUGCAGUAGGGGAGACUGGAAUUCCUGGUGUAGCGGUGAAAUGCGCAGAUAUCAGGAGGAACACCGAUGGCGAAGGCAGGUCUCUGGGCUGUUACUGACGCUGAGGAGCGAAAGCAUGGGGAGCGAACAGGAUUAGAUACCCUGGUAGUCC
rnacentral:rRNA from 1 species